rnacentral:tRNA from 1 species
AUUAUUUUGGCAGAUUAGUGCGAUUGAUUUAGAAUCUUUAUAUGUAAUUUAUUACAAGUAAUA